UACGUAGGGUGCAAGCGUUGUUCGGAAUUACUGGGCGUAAAGGGCUCGUAGGCGGCCAACUAAGUCAGACGUGAAAUCCCUCAGCUUAACUGGGGAACUGCGUCUGAUACUGGAUGGCUUGGAUCCGGAAGAGGGAUGCGGAAUUCCAGGUGUAGCGGUGAAAUGCGUAGAUAUCUGGAGGAACACCGGUGGCGAAGGCGGCAUCCUGGGCCGGUAUUGACGCGUGAGGAGCGAAAGCCAGGGGAGCAACGGG
rnacentral:rRNA from 1 species